AUACAUGCAGUCGAGCGAACGAUGAGGAGCUUGCUCCUCUGACGUUAGCGGCGGACGGGUGAGUAACACGUGGGCAACCUGCCCUUAAGACUGGGAUAACUCCGGGAAACCGGGGCUAAUACCGGAUAAUUGAAAGAACCUCCUGGUUCUUUUAUGAAAGGCGGCUUCGGCUGUCACUUAAGGAUGGGCCCGCGGCGCAUUAGCUAGUUGGUGAGGUAACGGCUCACCAAGGCAACGAUGCGUAGCCGACCUGAGAGGGUGAUCGGCCACACUGGGACUGAGACACGGCCCAGACUCCUACGGGAGGCAGCAGUAGGGAAUCUUCCGCAAUGGACGAAAGUCUGACGGAGCAACGCCGCGUGAGUGAAGAAGGUUUUCGGAUCGUAAAGCUCUGUUGUCAGGGAAGAACAAGUACCAUAGUAACUGAUGGUACCUUGACGGUACCUGACCAGAAAGCCACGGCUAACUACGUGCCAGCAGCCGCGGUAAUACGUAGGUGGCAAGCGUUGUCCGGAAUUAUUGGGCGUAAAGCGCGCGCAGGUGGUUCCAAAAGUCUGAUGUGAAAGCCCCCGGCUCAACCGGGGAGGGUCAUUGGAAA
rnacentral:rRNA from 1 species